rnacentral:rRNA from 1 species
UAGGGAAUCUUGCGCAAUGGGCGAAAGCCUGACGCAGCCAUGCCGCGUGAAUGAUGAAGGUCUUAGGAUUGUAAAAUUCUUUCACCGGGGAAGAUAAUGACGGUACCCGGAGAAGAAGCCCCGGCUAACUUCGUGCCAGCAGCCGCGGUAAUACGAAGGGGGCUAGCGUUGCUCGGAAUUACUGGGCGUAAAGGGCGCGUAGGCGGAUAGUUUAGUCAGAGGUGAAAGCCCAGGGCUCAACCUUGGAAUUGCCUUUGAUACUGGCUAUCUUGAGUUCGGGAGAGGUGAGUGGAAUGCCGAGUGUAGAGGUGAAAUUCGUAGAUAUUCGGCGGAACACCAGUGGCGAAGGCGACUCACUGGCCCGAUACUGACGCUGAGGCGCGAAAGCGUGGGGAGCAAACAGG